rnacentral:lncRNA from 1 species
UACACCACAGCCACAGCCACACAGGAUCCAAGCUGCAUCUGUGACCCACACCACAGCUCAUGGCAACACUGGAUCCCCGACCCACUGAGGGAGGCCAAGAUCAAACCCACAACCCCAUGGUUCCUAGUCGGAUUCGUUUCCAGUGCGCCCCGACCAGAACUCCUCUCUUAGCAUGGGGGACGGGGUAGUUUUUAGCGUAUGAAUCUUACAGUAGGUUUGAUAAAGUGAUUUCUGAGUAUUUUAUUUGUCUUGAUGUCGUGGUGAGUGGAACUGGUGUGAUUUUGUUUUCAGGUUGGCUUUAGCCUGUGUAAUCCCAACAGAUUUCUCCGGCUCAGCUUCUUAAUUCCCGGUGUGUGUGUAUCUGACUCCUUAGGCCACACACAGGAUCACACUGUCUGUGCAUAAGGACGUGGUUUUUCCCUUUUUUGGCCGCCCCGCCGCACAGGGAUCAGAUCGGAGCCCUAGUUGUGACCUAAGCCAGAGCUGCAGCACCACCAGAGCCUUACCCACUGCACCUCAGUGCUCCCAAGAGGCCAUCAGUCCCGUUGCCACCCAGCGGGGACCCUGUGCAUGUGGAGACGCCUUUCGUCUGCACGAGCUUCCCUGCACACCCCGUGGGCCACUGCCAAGGGCCAAGAGCAGGGAGCCUACACUCCUUCCCCAGCGCUGAGGAUGCGGGCUUGUCUUCACAGCUGCCGUCGCAGGCAGGAGGAGGCUCCCGACCAGAGAUGGCCCUCUCCUGUCCCCGCGGUGGUGCCUGUGUCAGGGUGCAGGGCAAAGGGGAAUGAGGCUGCUCCUCCGCCGACCUCCAGACGGUGAGGGUGACCUGGACUUUGCGGGGGGUCUCCGUGUAAUUACAGGGGUCCCUAAAAGUGGAAGGGGGGAGGGCAGCAUGAGGCAGGGAGGGGAGGCUGCGACCCCUAGUUGCUGAGUUUUGCAAAGGGAGGGCGGUGGGGAGCCUCCAGCAGUGGGAAAGGCCGGGGACAGAGUUUGGCCCCAGAGCCCCCCAAGGAACAGCUCUGCUGACCCUGCAGUGCAGGGAGGCUGCUGUCAGCCUCGACCUCCAGAACGGCCAGGGGCUACGUUCGUGUUGUAGUAACUGAUUUCGGAAUGAUUUGACAGAGCAGCCAUUUGGAAAUUAGUAGAUGUUCUUUUAAUGUUGUGGCUGCACUCAGGGCAUGUGGAGGUUUCGGGGCCAGGGAUUGAAUCCCAGCCACAGCUGCCUGUGACCUACACCGCGACCAUGGCAACGCCAGAUCCUUUAACCUACUGAGCAGGGCUGGGAAUCCAUCCACCCCUCACCUUGGCAGUGACCUGAGCUGCUGCACUUGGAUUUUUUUGUUGUUGUUGUUCUUUUUAGGGCUGCACCCACGGCAUAUGGAGAUUCCCAGGCUAGGGGUCGAAAUCAGCUACAGCAGCUGGCCUACACCACGGCUCACAGCAACACCAGAUCCUUAACCCACCAAGCGAGGCCAGGGAUCGAACUUGCGUCAUAAUGGAUGCUGGCCAGUUUCAUUCACCACUGAGCUACAGCGGGAACUCCUGUUGACAUUUUUUAUAACAAACGGGUGUGGAAAUUUUUUUCGCCACAUCCACAGCAUGUGGAAUCCAUUUCCAGGCCCAGGAUUGAACCCGUGCCAUGGCAGCCACAACACCAUAUCCUUAACCUGAUGCACCACAAGGGAGCUCCUGGGUGUGGGGUUUGGUCAAAUGUUUUCCUGCAUCCAUUGAGAUUAUCGUGUGGGUUUUGUCCUUUAUUUGAUGGUUUAUUGUUAAUUGAUUUUUAGAUGUUGAACCAACUUUGUAUUCCUGUGAUAAAUCUCGCCUAUGGAAGGUCCCAGGCCAGGGAUUGAACCUGAGCCACAGCAGGAUCAGUCCUUAACCUGCUGCGCCACAAGGGAGCUCGUGGUACUGACAUUUGAGGGAUUUUGUGCUCAUGAAGGACACCGGUCGCUGGCUCUCCGUUUGGGAUCAGGCUCACACCAGCCUCACACAAUUCAGGCGUUCCUGUCGUGGCAAAAAAAAAGAAAAUUGAAUGAUGGAAUGAAGAAGAUGUACCUGUUACUUGUAGAAUUCUUCAGAUUAAAACAAGGAGAGGAGUUCCGGUUGUGGUGCAGCGGAAAUGAAUCUGACCAGGAACCAUGAAGUCGCAGGUUUGAUCCCUGGCUUCGUUCAGUGGAUUAAGGAUCUGGCAUUGCCGUGAGCUGUGGUGUAGGUCGCAGACUCAGCUCAGGUGUGGGCUGGCAGCUGUAGCUCCUAGGAGACCCCUGGCCUGGGAACGUCCAUGUGCUGCAGGCGCGGCCCUGAAAAGCAAAACAAAUAAAUAAAUAGGUUCAGCUGCGUGAA